AUACGUAGGGUGCGAGCGUUGUCCGGAAUUACUGGGCGUAAAGAGCUCGUAGGUGGUUUGUCGCGUCGUCUGUGAAAUUCCGGGGCUUAGCUCCGGGCGUGCAGGCGAUACGGGCAUAACUUGAGUACUGUAGGGGAGACUGGAAUUCCUGGUGUAGCGGUGAAAUGCGCAGAUAUCAGGAGGAACACCGGUGGCGAAGGCGGGUCUCUGGGCAGUAACUGACGCUGAGAAGCGAAAGCAUGGGUAGCGAACAGGAUUAGAUACCCUGGUAGUCCAUGCCGUAAACGGUGGGCGCUAGGUGUAGGGGUCUUCCACGACUUCUGUGCCGUAGCUAACGCAUUAAGCGCCCCGCCUGGGGAGUACGGCCGCAAGGCUAAAACUCAAAUGAAUUGACGGGG
rnacentral:rRNA from 1 species